rnacentral:misc_RNA from 1 species
AAGUCGGAACAAGGUUUCCGGAAUUUUGAGCAGUAGUUCUUUUGGCCUUGUUUGCUCAAACAGUCAGUGCUUGGAUAGACCGCAUCUCGCAGGCAGGAGCUAGGCCAAAGAGUCCCCAUGCCCCCUUACAACCCCACAGUUUAAUGUGAAGCUCAAUGUAAUACACUGGGUCAAAAAACCAAACAGCUGCUUAAUGGAUAUCUUGGUUCUC